UUUCAGCGUGUAAAAAGGUAACGUUUAUUGUUAUAAGCAGGUUUAAUAAUGAAAGCGCUGAAUUGCGUAGUCGAUGAUAUUGCCUGGUGUGCUCGCAGCGUUAAUAAAUGCAACCAUGCGAUAACGUUUCUCGUGCAAAUUGGAUUCAGUGACUUCCAUAGGUCAAAGUUACAUUCAUAAAUACACCAGUAUACUAUUCAAAAUUUAUUUUGUUUUUUUGUCCGCAAAUCGAUCCUCUGUUGGAUUAUAUAAUGACCGACACUUGCAUUGGUGUUUAAAUUUUAAGUGACGAACUAAACAAGUAAAGUAUGAUAUUUAUACGAAGGAUUUAAUGUGAUAAUUACCGGAAUGUCGAGGAAAAAAUGAUCCAUAAAUAAAUAAAUAAAAUAAAAAUCAACGCGAACAUUUUCCUUUUAUGCAAUUUAAUUAUGUAAUUAAAUUCGACGCAGAAUUAAAGACCGGAUGAGGUGCGACAGUCAAGUUUGAAUUAAAUAAUUAUUAUUGUACGGAUGUUUUUUUAUUUCACAGUGAUUAAGAAAAUAUUUUGAGAUAAGCGUGAUAAAAAUUAAUCGCCGGCCUAAGAAGAAAGGAGCGGAAUGAAUUGAAAUGAGAAAAGAUGUGUAUAAUGGAGAGAUAAUAGUUUUCAAGCUCGGGUUAUUAAUUAUUAAUUAAUAAUUAAUGAAGUUCCAAAAGGAAGCGGAGAUUGCCCCAUAGUCUGUCGUCUUCACGAUCAAAAUCAAUUCAAGGAAGUUAUUUAUUCGCUGAUCUUACACAAGAGUUUUUGGUUUUUUUUUUAAUCAAAAUUUAGUUUUUUUUUUUUGAGGUUGAGAUCGGUGUUUUGGUUCGGAUUUUUUAACGUGUUAAUCUGUUGAAAUUUAGGGAAGAUGAUGAAUAAUGGAGCAAAAGGAUAAGACCGGAUAACGUAUGGAUGCCGCGUAGCAAUGAUAUCGACUGGAUUGAUGGAGAAAACCAGCGGACAUGUGGGGGAGUUCGGAUAAGGGUAAAGGGUGAAGAGGUAGUUGCGGUAAGGGUGAAACUGGGUAGGAAAUUAUGCUCCGAUUGUUCGUCUAUGUUUAUUCACCGACACACCUUUGAUCCAUGAAGUUCGUCUUUCAAUAAAAAUACUUUCUAAUUAUUUAAUUUAGUUUCAUUUUAUAAUUUUAAAAUUGCACGACUAUUAUUGUUA